GCUGAAAUGAAAAGCAGAUGGAAGAGUUGACAAUUAGGAAUCAUUUUGCAUCAGUAGUGUUGCUGUGAGCUGAAUCGGCACUGCCUGUGCAACAUUUGGCAAAGUAAGUGAACGCUACGUUAUAUCUUCAUUUUGAAUGAGCUAAUGGCUAACUAGCUAAUUGGCACGAGGAGCCCCCACACGUAGGCCUGCUGGCCCCCAGCAAAGGACUUGAUAUGCUGUACAAGAUACAAGAUAUCAAGAAAACCUUUGCCUGAGUCUUACAUGAAUGUGAGGUGGAUGGAGAUGUCUUUGAUGAGCUUGUCAAGUCAGGUGUUUUGACUUUCAAGGUCCUUUUAUCAGUGACAGGUAAGGAUGUGAAAACAUUGGAAAAUGCAUGAGGUGGUUUAGAUAUCACAGGUAGUGUGGAC